UAAUAUAGCAGAUAGCAAAUACAAACUACAAAUAACAUAGCAGACAGCAAAUAGAAACUAGUACCAUAAAGUAGUAUAAAUAGCACUAAAUUAUCAAAAUGUACUUAGUCUUAGUUUUGUAUUAAUAAAGGAACUUGCCCUGACGGUGCAAAGUUCAUACAAAAGUGAAUCAAUUGUGAUUAACUCGCGCGCCCGCAUGUGCCACUCACCGCUGAUGACUGAGCUGAAGUUGAAACAAAAGAGCGAGGCGAAAGCUCAGCCAGAGAACUUAAAGAUAUAGAAAAGGUGCAAAUUGAAUUCUGUAUGAUGUUCGAUUGGACGGCUAACAGAGCUUAUAGAAUUGUAAAUAGUAAGGAGUUCACCAUUCUCGGUGCUAUUUAAUAGAAAUGAGCACAUGCAAAGGCAGAAAUAUAUGUAAAACGACUGAAUUCAUGCGAGAAUGAAUAAAGAGAAAUGCUUUGAAGAAAAAUAUACAAAGUCACACAGAGAAUGUAAAAAAUCAUUCUCUGAGUCACAUAUGCGUGAUCUUAUAUCAUAUGAACCAUUUUUUUUUUCAGAAAAAUUGUAAAAAUUUUAAUUUUUUUACAAAAUCGUGAAAAAUUAGGUAAAAAAUAAUUUAAUUAUAAUUUUUAAUUUUUAAAUUAUUUCAAAAAAGUUAUAUUUAUUUCGAAUAUUACAAACUGAAGAUGUGUCAAAUGAACUGAAAUGUGCUCAUAUACUCGUAUGUCAAUUGAUCUCCUUUUCUUUUUGUUUUCUACCGGUUUAAGGGUGUUGAGGAUUUCAAAAGUUUGAGUAGUUUCAUGUUUGAGGAUAGGAUAAAGGAAGUUAUCUUUAGGGACUUGAGUGGUUAUUUCAUUAUAAGUUUCUGUCAGGAAAUGUUCGUAACGGUCUAGGUCAGUGCUUCGCAAACAUAGUUUUGCCAUGACCCGGUAAUUUUCACACUGUCCUUUCGUGACCCACUUAAUAAUAUUAAACUCAAGAUGGUUACAUGAGAUUAAAUAAUACACGUUUAAUAAUAGUAAGAGAAAUGUUUUAUUAAUAUUAAAUUAUAAUAUUUUGGUAUCUUUGGUACUCACUUUUUAGUGCGAAGUAUGUAGCUGUUGUUUAUUUUUAAUUAUAGAGUUCAAGUUUGCUGAAAUUUCUGAAAGUUUUAUCCUGAGAUCGGGUUCCACUUCCAGUCUGUUUCGAUAUUUAUUUUUAAGGCAAAGUAGUGCUGAAAACCCAGUUCAUAUUUUUAAGUGGUCACAAAAGGCAUUAAAAAAAUCUUUGCUUGAUGACCUAGUAUUGUGUAUUCUUGAUGACAAGAUAACCAAAAACCAAUUGGUACGAAUGUGUGAAGGUCAUUAAUUUUUUUUUGAAGAAAUGAAAGGAAUGACGUGUUUACGAGUAUUAGAAACGGCAUGGAAAUACAUCGCCGGAUCUUCUGAUCAUAAUGAUCUUAAUAUUAUAAAUGACAAUUUAAAUAAUCUGUACCAAAAUAAUAAUAACGGAGCCUCCGGUUUUUAACGAGAAACUUUUCAUUUUGUUUUUGUUUUUUUCAAUAAAUGAAUUGGAAAAUAGUAACAACUACUGGAGCCGAAAACAUCAAGCUGUGACCGUACAGGUGCUGCUACACCUUCUCAGCAGCGUUCUUUUUGUGAUGCAUAUCAAGUUGAUCUUAAGAUCUCUAUAUACUUGCAAUUUUGAGAAAGUGCUCUACACAAAUUUAAAACAUUCAAAAAUGUUAUUGAAUCUUUUAAGAAAACUAACAGUAGUGGUUAUGUCUGGAUUUGUUCGAAAUGAAAUUCCAACAGCUUUAGAAGCUGUAUAGAUAACGGUCUAAUUUUGAUGUUUAGAUUAAUGUUAAAAAAGUUUUUUAUGAAAUUGGCCAUUAAAUCAUCAAUACACAAGAAAUGUAAAAGCUCAUGGGUUUUGUAAUUUUAAGAAAUAAAACGUUGUGACCCUUAAAAAUAAAUUAGAUAUUUAUAAAACAAUAGUAUUUAGAUCGGGUUUUAAAAAGCUUCGGUGAUCGGACGAGAACCGAUGUAUUCAGCGUGGUAUGGUCGUUGGCCGCUGUGUUCGGUGUGUGUAUAUGUUACCUAUCCACCCAUAAAAAUUAAAAUAAUAAUAAAUAAAAUUCAAACUUUAAUAGCUUUCAUCUUCCGCGAAAUCGUAUUGCAGUUAACAAUGUCAUUUUAUAUCUACAUAUAAAGCAAAAACUUAACUGUUAAGCUCCAAAGAAAAUAUAAUAUACUUCUAAAGUUCAGAAUUAAUUAGUUUUAAGGUCUUGUUUGCUGUCCAUCCUAGAUGUUGCGUUUCGACUUGCAACCGUGACUGCCAUAACACCAUCGCGAUUUUUUUCUAUAGUUCGACGUGAAACGCUAGUCAGCAGUUGCACAAAGCGCUCGGUUCCUUGAAUAUGUGGAGGAAUUUGUGGAUCCGGAAGUGGAGGAUUGUCAAAUUCUAUGUAAUCGAGCAAAUGGUCAUAGGGUAUGUUUGCAGUGAAGGGCGGCUCCGACAAAAUGCUAUUGUUAUCUAAGUUUAUCAUCUCAACAUAUUCAGUGCAGUCAAAAUUUAUAGUUGGUUUUUUGUAAGCUCUUAAUUUUGUUGGGUCGUAAAGUUUUUCACGAUAGUACAAAAUUUUUUUUUAAAGCCCUCUGGCGCACUUCCUUUCUGGCAUCAAAAAGCAUUGUUAGUAGAACAUUUCCUGAAUGUGCAAAAUAUGAGUUAUUUUGAACAACAUUAUUUACAAUUUCGCGCAGAUUUUGUGGUAAAUAUUAAAAAAAAAAAACAAGUGAAAAUCAAAGAAACAAUCGACAGUGUAACAGAAAUUGGAAUGAUUUGAUUUUUUUUAAUAAAUGAAAAGGAAAACAGUAAAAACUACUAGAGUCGAAAACAUAAAGCAGUGACCGUACAGAAAAAUACCGUUAUAUGGGAGGUGGCCGUAGUUUUUGCCCAAUUUUAAUCAUUUUCAUAAUCUCACCUAACUAGGUACAAUCUAAAAUGUGCACCAAAUUUAGUCGAAAUCGAUAAAGAAGUUCCAGAGAUUUACAUAUGCACUCAAAAGUGGGCGGUGACAUGCCAAAAUUUUCAUAUUGUCGAAUUUCUGGCUGCAAUACAACACCGAAUACCAAACUCAAGAUGUUUCCCUUCAACAGUUAUUAAAAUGUCCGAUCUUUAGUGUUUUCAAAAAUUGCCGUUAUAUGGUAGGUGGGCGUGGUUAUUAUCCGAUUUCGAUCAUUUUGCAGAUAUCUCUUAAGUAGGCAUUGUGUAAUAUGUAUACCAAAUUUGAACGAAAUCGGUGGGGUGGUUCCAGAGAUAUGCAUAUGAACUCAUAAGUGGGCAGUGCCACGCCCCCUAUAAAAAAUUUCUGUACUGUCGAAUUUUCUGCUUAAAUACAACAUCACAUACCAAAUUUGAGCAAAUUAGCUUCGAUAGCUACAAAACAAGCAAACAAUCGACAGUGGAAUAGGAAUUGGAUUUUUUUUUUUACAAAAUACAAUAUACGAAAUUUUCUCGCUAAAAACCGGAGGCUCGAUUUUCAUUUUAGACCCAUGGUUUCUUGGGCAAAUUUUCUUAGAAUUCGUCGUAGUUUACGAUUUUGAUAACCGCUUUGUCAAGAAAAAAAUUUACCCACUCUAGUGUAUAUACAUAUGUACGUACAAAUUAAACUAUUUCAUGAUGAAUUUCUUAAAAUCUUUGGAAAUAUGGGCUUAUUCGAGGCACUCCAUAACUGCGACAAUAUUGCAGCCCUGAUACUCAAUUUGCAACACUGUUGCAGAUGCUCAGCUGAUACUUAAGCAAAAUAAUUGCAAUAUUUUGCGCGAAUUGUGACCGAAAGUGAAACUUUAACCAUGAACUUUUUAAUAAAUAUAGCGAUAGAUAAUUUUGAAAGCAGUGAUAAUAACCUGCUGCUUAAGUAUGGAAAAAAUAGAAAACAACAUUUUUUAAGAAAGAGAAAGUGGUUCCUCGCUGAAAUUUCAAAAAAGAGAACAGUGACGAAGAUGAUAAAGGUUUGGAAAACAAUUCCAUUGUACCAUGAUGAUACAUAUUUCACGCAUUUUCGCAUGACUCGUGAAACAUUUGCAGACUUGAAAAAUGCGUUAGAACCUUUUUGGUCAACACCACACGGGGAAUAUUCCUUGGAACAUUCCUUGCAUAUGACUCUUUGGAAGCUAAGCAAUAGUAGAGUCACAUAUCGAGAGCUUGCCGAUAGAUUUAAUGUUGGGCAAGGAACUGCCCACAAACUUUUCCUUAAAACAAUCAAGACAAUCUGCAAACUUAAAAACGAGAUAUGUUGGCCGUCAGUUUUACAGCAGAAAAAAAUAAUGGAAAACUUUCAAACAAGCCGGGUAAAUUCAUUUCCUUUUGUUGUCGGAUGCUUAGAUGGAACGCAUUUCAAAAUUAACACUCCUCAAACAGAUGCAAUCAGUUAUUAUGACCGUAAAGGAAAUUUUUCAGUUAUUAUGCAGAUGUGUUCAUCGGCUACCCAGGUAGCUGUCAUGAUGCCAAUGUGUGGAAAAAUAGCCCACUUUACAAAGGGAUCACAUCUGGACAAAUAAAACUUGCGAAAGAUGCAAUUAUUCUAGCCGAUUCAGCAUAUCCUGUUUCAAGAUACUUAAUUGCUCCUUUUAGAGAUAACGGACAUCUUUCCAGAGAGGAAAAACAAUUCAACUAUUAUAUGAGUUCAACCCGAGUAUUUAUCGAGCAAACAUUUGGAAUUUUCAGGGCUAAGUUUAAAAUAUUGAAUCAUAUUGAUAUGCGCAAUAUAGAAGACAUAUCAACUGUGAUAUUAGCUUGCGCAAUUUUACAUAAUUUUGUACAGCGAAGCAAUCCGGUUCAUUCUGAAGACAAUCAUACGAGUAUGCCUGAAAAUUUAGAAAAUUCAAAUGAUCACGAUAUGAUUGAACUACCUGAAAAUAUAAAUGACACUAAUGAAGGAAUUAUCAGACGAAAUAACUUGAAAAUGCUAUUUAUUUCAUAGAAGUAUUAUUUCAAUAAUGUAUAUAUGUAUGUACAUAUCAAAUAAAUGAUUAAUUG